UAGGGAAUCUUCGGCAAUGGACGGAAGUCUGACCGAGCAACGCCGCGUGAGUGAAGAAGGUUUUCGGAUCGUAAAGCUCUGUUGUAAGAGAANGNNGNGGNNNNNNGNUNUUNNCUCNNCACACUGUGACGGUAUCUUACCAGAAAGGGACGGCUAACUACGUGCCAGCAGCCGCGGUAAUACGUAGGUCCCGAGCGUUGUCCGGAUUUAUUGGGCGUAAAGCGAGCGCAGGCGGUUAGAUAAGUCUGAAGUUAAAGGCUGUGGCUUAACCAUAGUACGCUUUGGAAACUGUUUAACUUGAGUGCAAGAGGGGAGAGUGGAAUUCCAUGUGUAGCGGUGAAAUGCGUAGAUAUAUGGAGGAACACCGGUGGCGAAAGCGGCUCUCUGGCUUGUAACUGACGCUGAGGCUCGAAAGCGUGGGGAGCAAACAGGAUUAGAUACCCUGGUAGUCCACGCCGUAAACGAUGAGUGCUAGGUGUUAGACCCUUUCCGGGGUUUAGUGCCGCAGCUAACGCAUUAAGCACUCCGCCUGGGGAGUACGACCGCAAGGUUG
rnacentral:rRNA from 1 species